CCCAGCCCUAGUGUCACCUGUCCAUCGUUUCCUCAUUAACCUGUGUAUUUAGUCUCUGUGCUUCGUUUGUGUCUUGUGGGAUCAUUACAUUCUGUCUGUGUGAUGCAUGUGUUGCUGUUCAGUGGUGUCAAGUUUUUGUUGAGUUUUUUUGUGUGGGGUACUGUGUGUGCCUGCUCAUUCCUGGCUUCCUUACUUCUGGCCUGCGUGCUUUUAGAACCACUUGGUGGAGCCAGGUGUCCAGCUGCUUCUCAUCAGCCACAAUCAACCUGCGCUUCAUAUACCCGGUUCUUCUUCCUCUCAGCGUCAGAUCACACCCAAAACUUUCACAAUUAGUCUUGUUCCAGCCAACUUUUGCUAGUUCUACAUGUUUUUUCGACCUCUAAUCCUGUUUCUUGUGGCAUCAGUUUGCCGUUUGGACCUGACUCCUGCCACCACUCCACUCCUGCCAAGGACCCGUAUUGGACUCUCAAGACUAGAAAUCCCAUUCUCUGGAUCCAGCCACAAGCCUGCUCUGCCCCGCUCCUUUUUGGAUUAUUUUGGCUCUGCACCCUGGAAAUCUGGACUUUGCACUCUUGAGUACAUUCUAAUAAACCUUGUUAUCAUUUA